GUUCAUCUCUUUCUUAUUACAAGCACAAGACACAACAGUCCAACUACCAAAGAGGAGCCAAAAAAGGGGCCAGAAAAAAAAAACACCAUUAAUAGGGGAUUAGGGCUCUAAGAAAAGAAAGAAAAAAAAACAUCCAUCCUAGACAGAAGCUACUUCAAUUCAUCACCAAAAAGCAUGUUUCGUAUAUAAGAAGCUACUGUCAUCAAGAUAUUGAAGAAUUCAAGAACGACCACAUAUUUGGAGGCCUUAUCUAGUUAUCUUCCAAGCGGUUCCGGAUAAAGGAACUAAGGAUUCGUUGAUUUGAAAUUGAAGUUGCUUUUGGAAGACUUGGAGGUAUUGCCAUUCAUGGAAGAAUGGUAUUUUGUGUAGACACUUAGAUAUCCCACCUCAUUAUGGCUCUUGACACUCUUGAAUGUUUUGCUAAUCUUGUUUUUGAUAAAUUUUUGGAAUUAUGGUCAUGUUGGGUCUUAUGGUUUCAAGAGUAAGUAUGGUCGUUUUGUUUAAAUUGUCAACUUGGGUAAACGACCCAUUUGGUUGUGUUUAUGGAUGUUGUUUCAAAUAAAUAUCAUAACUAUGCUUGUAAAUGGGUCAAAUCCUUGUUUGAACUCAAAAAUGUUGUAAUAUGAGGUUUGGUUUUGAGUUGGAAAA